AGAGUUUGAUCCUGGCUCAGGAUGAACGCUAGCGGCAGGCCUUACACAUGCAAGUCGAACGGCAGCGCGGGGGCAACCCUGGCGGCGAGUGGCGAACGGGUGAGUAACAUAUCGGAACGUGCCCUGGAGUGGGGGAUAACCAGUCGAAAGACUGGCUAAUACCGCAUACGAUCUACGGAUGAAAGUGGGGGAUCGCAAGACCUCAUGCUCGUGGAGCGGCCGAUAUCUGAUUAGCUAGUUGGUGGGGUAAAGGCCUACCAAGGCGACGAUCAGUAGCUGGUCUGAGAGGACGACCAGCCACACUGGGACUGAGACACGGCCCAGACUCCUACGGGAGGCAGCAGUGGGGAAUUUUGGACAAUGGGGGCAACCCUGAUCCAGCAAUGCCGCGUGUGUGAAGAAGCCUUCGGGUUGUAAAGCACUUUUGUUCGGGAAGAAAUCCCCUGGGCUAAUACCUCGGGGGGAUGACGGUACCGGAAGAUAAGCACCGGCUAACUAC
rnacentral:rRNA from 1 species